rnacentral:rRNA from 1 species
ACGGGAGGCAGCAGUAGGGGAUAUUGCACAAUGGGGGGAACCCUGAUGCAGCAACGCCACGUGUGGGAAGAAGCAUUUCGGUGUGUAAACCACUGUCGUGAGGGAAUAAUGCUUGGCUCCGGCCAAGUUGAAUGUACCUCGAAAGGAAGCACCGGCAAACUUCGUGCCAGCAGCCGAGGUAAUACGAGGGGUGCAAGCGUUGUUCGGAAUCACUGGGCGUAAAGGGAGCGUAGGCGGAGACGCAAGCAGUCUGUACAAUACCGGGGCCCAACCCCGGUCCUUCAGACUGGACUGUUUCUCUUGGAUAGUUCAGGGGCAGGCGGAAUUCCUGGUGUAGCGGUGGAAUGCGUAGAGAUCAGGAAGAACACCGAUGGCGAAGGCAGCCUGCUGGGGACUCAUCGACGCUGAGGCUCGAAAGUGCGGGUAGCAAACAGGAUUAGAUACCCUGGUA